AGGAAAUGGAGAAUCUCUGAGCCUGAGUGUGGCUGACCAUCAUGACUUGACUUUAGAGAAAGCAAGUCUGCAACAAUAAAGUAGACAGGGAAAGAAGGCCCAGUUAUUCACACUCACCCCAUAUUUGGUGAGAGAAGCAGAGGCCCAAAGGAAUAUUGCAAAUACCCAAGGUCACCCUGUCAGGAGUGGCAGAAUAGGGCUGGAACAAGGACUCUUUUCUCUGGACAGCUUGCACCUACAAUCCUUUCCAUCUUGCACCUACAAUCCACUCGAACACUGCAGCAUGGAGGCAGACUCCUUGCCAACGGGUAUUGUCGAGAGCUUCUUCCUACCAUCAUUUGUGAGUUUCAUCAGCUCCCAACCCUUUGUGUCUCAGCUUCUAAACUUUCUUUCUUUGACCAGAACUCAGCCAUAGUAGAACUGGAUUUAUGGAUGGAAUUAGAGAUAUGUCUUAUCUGAUGUGACAACUCCAAAGAAUCGGUAGUGCUUUAGAGACAUCAGAAGGCUCUACAGAACUCAACAAGAGUACCAUGUAAAAUUCAUGAUGUCUGGAUGUGUGAGGGAUAGGGAGGCAUUGCUAUUUUUGACUUUGAUCUAUCCUUUAGGCCCAGAAAAUCUUAUAUUUGUAGACAGAGGGGAUCCAGGCACUGGAGAGUUG
rnacentral:lncRNA from 1 species